rnacentral:rRNA from 1 species
UGGGGAAUUUUGGACAAUGGGCGAAAGCCUGAUCCAGCAAUGCCGCGUGUGUGAAGAAGGCCUUCGGGUUGUAAAGCACUUUUGUCCGGAAAGAAAUCCUUGGCUCUAAUACAGUCGGGGGAUGACGGUACCGGAAGAAUAAGCACCGGCUAACUACGUGCCAGCAGCCGCGGUAAUACGUAGGGUGCAAGCGUUAAUCGGAAUUACUGGGCGUAAAGCGUGCGCAGGCGGUUUGCUAAGACCGAUGUGAAAUCCCCGGGCUCAACCUGGGAACUGCAUUGGUGACUGGCAGGCUAGAGUAUGGCAGAGGGGGGUAGAAUUCCACGUGUAGCAGUGAAAUGCGUAGAGAUGUGGAGGAAUACCGAUGGCGAAGGCAGCCCCCUGGGCUAAUACUGACGCUCAUGCACGAAAGCGUGGGGAGCAAACAGGAUUAGAUACCCUGGUAGUCCACGCCCUAAACGAUGUCAACUAGUUGUUGGGGAUUCAUUUCCUUAGUAACGUAGCUAACGCGUGAAGUUGACCGCCUGGGGAGUACGGUCGCAAGAUUAAAACUUAAAUGAAUUGACGGGGUCAUAGCUGUUUCCU